GGAAACCAGCUUAUUAAAGGGAACCAUGGAAACAGGAAACAUUUUCAAAAGGAAAUGGAUCUUUUGGUGCAGUGGAGGCAUGAUAUCUAGUUUUUGUGAGGGCAGCAUCCAUCUACAUCAACUCUGUGCCCUGAAGAGAAUGGAAAGAAGAGGAAAAAAAAGCAGUGGGAGACAAGUUUAUGUGAAGGGGCAGUGUAUUAUAAAACUACCUACAUCAAACAUAAGAACCAUCGUUUGGAAGAUAGGAGGAGUUCACAUUCACUAUUUCCAUAGACUAUCAUUGCAGCCUUCUUAAGCACACAAGACAGCUCUUGCUGUCAUGUAUAUUUUCUCCUGGCCAACUGACACACAAUGAUGGUGAGAAGAAUCCUGUGGCUAGCAUUUUUGUGGCACCAAGGGACAGAAGUAAACUUGAUUAAUAUAAGACAUAUUUAAAAUGUCUGCACUCCUAGUUUUAUAAUAAAAUAAAAUUCUGAAUUAACA
rnacentral:lncRNA from 1 species